rnacentral:lncRNA from 1 species
AGCAGCGGCUCAGGGGCGGAAGCACUGAGCUCAUCCUUGUUGAGCAGCACAGAACACGAAGAAGAAGAAGAAGAAGGAAAGAAGAAGAAGAAGAAGAAGAAGAACCCUCAUUAGUCUCAGGUGAGAGCGUUGUCGACGCCUCCAGCUCUUUGUGGAGCCUUAACGUGUGGACUUCUACGUGGAAUGGUUUGUUGGUUGUCGUCUUCUGCUCAGGCCCGCGUUUCUCCACCUCCUCCGUCUAAAGGCAAGAACACCUGCGUCGGCACAGUGGUGGAAACGGAGCAGACGUCUUCACGCAGACCCGUCUUCUUCUUCCUAGCUCCUCGUUUAUUGCACAGCAGAUGGGGCAGGAACGCAGAUCACAGCCGCCGACGCUCCCUGAGCCGAGGAGCACGUCCCUCAGCACCACGUGAGGCUCCGAUUAUUCGAACCGCUGGACGGCGGCCGCAGGUCCUGGAAAGCUGUGGCCGCUGACGUGUGCUCAGAGCUUCGGCGUGGUGAUGUGAGCAGCGGAGGAAACGCGAAUGGCAGUGGUUUUUAUUAUCUUGACACUUUCCUGCGCUUUGUGCUGCGGUGUGUUUAACAAGCGCUACAAGUGCGGGGACGGAGGAGAGAGCAGCAGUGUGACAAAUAGCAGCACAUCAUGCAGAAAAUGUGCAAUGCUAAACAUCAG